rnacentral:rRNA from 1 species
UACGGGGGGGGCAAGCGUUGUUCGGAAUUACUGGGCGGAAAGGGCUCGUAGGUGGCCAACUAAGUCAGACGUGAAAUCCCUCGGCUUAACCGGGGAACUGCGUCUGAUACUGGGAGGCUUGAGUAUGGGAGAGGGAUGUAGAAUUCCAGGUGUAGCGGUGAAAUGCGUAGAUAUCUGGAGGAAUACCGGUGGCGAAGGCGGCAUCCUGGACCAUAACUGACGCUGAGGCGCGAAAGCUAGGGGAGCAAACGGG